GAUGAAGGAACGUAGCGAAAUGCGAUAAGUAGUGUGAAUUGCAGAAUUCAGUGAAUCAUCGAAUCUUUGAACGCACAUUGCGCCCCUUGGUAUCCCGAGGGGCAUGCCUGUUCGAGCGUCAUUUCACCACUCAAGCCUGGCUUGGUGUUGGGCGACGUCCUCUUUGGGGACGCGCCUCGAAACGCUCGGCGGCGUGGCACCGGCUUUAAGCGUAGCAGAAUCUUUCGCUUUGGAAGUCGGGGCCCCGUCUGCCGGAAGACCUGCUCGCAAGGUUGACCUCGGAUCAGGCAGGGAUACCCGCUGAACUUAAGCAUAUCAAUAAGCGGAGGA
rnacentral:misc_RNA from 1 species